rnacentral:rRNA from 1 species
UACGGAGGGUGCAAGCGUUGUCCGGAUUUAUUGGGCUUAAAGGGUGCGUAGGCGGCCUAAUAAGUCAGUGGUGAAAGCCUCCAGCUUAACUGGAGAACUGCCAUUGAUACUGUUAGGCUUGAGUAUACUUGAGGUAGGCGGAAUUGACAGUGUAGCGGUGAAAUGCAUAGAUAUUGUCAAGAACACCAAUUGCGAAGGCAGCUUACUAAAUUAUAACUGACGCUGAGGCACGAAAGUGUGGGUAUCAAACAGG